UUAAAUUGAAGAGUUUGAUCAUGGCUCAGAUUGAACGCUGGCGGCAGGCCUAAUACAUGCAAGUCGAACGGUAACAGGAAGCAGCUUGCUGCUU
rnacentral:rRNA from 1 species